rnacentral:misc_RNA from 1 species
GUAUAUGAUUAUUAUAGGCACAUAAGCCCAUUGAUCACAUUCUACAACAUACUAUGUGGUAUAUGAAUACAUAGUACUUGAAGGAGAGGUAUUGCAAGUCGUUUUGAGAAGAGCUGUAUGCUUUUGCACUCAGCAAUUCCUCACAUCCGGAAAGGCCAUAACAGCUAUCCGAUAGUCGACCGCUCUCAACCUCCAAGACUACAAAAAGUGCACAGGUGGAUGAAUAAAGUCAAGACAGGCGUGCACAUGCCCCGAAGAGCCAGCUACAACCCAUCAAGAAUAUUCAAUAAUGAUCCUUCCGCAGGUUCACCUACGGAAA